CCUCAAACAUAUGUAUACUAUGACCAACUGAUUUGCUUCUACAUAAUUUUCAUUUUUUCUUGAACUACUACUUCCUGCGAGCAUUCUUGUAUCCUCUAUCGAACAUAUGCCGAAAUAUUUUUACAUGCAUUAACAUUGCCUUUUUUUUGCCUAGCAAGAUGUUGCUUCAUUCUAUUAAUGGCACCACUUUGCAGAAUUUUCUGACAAAACCCACCAAAAAUGAUUCUCUUCCUAUCAGCAGUUCUUCCGUUAG
rnacentral:lncRNA from 1 species